rnacentral:rRNA from 1 species
GACGAACGCUGGCGGCGUGCUUAACACAUGCAAGUCGAACGGAAAGGCCCUGCUUUUGUGGGGUGCUCGAGUGGCGAACGGGUGAGUAACACGUGAGUAACCUGCCCUUGACUUUGGGAUAACUUCAGGAAACUGGGGCUAAUACCGGAUAGGAGCUCCUGCUGCAUGGUGGGGGUUGGAAAGUUUCGGCGGUUGGGGAUGGACUCGCGGCUUAUCAGCUUGUUGGUGGGGUAGUGGCUUACCAAGGCUUUGACGGGUAGCCGGCCUGAGAGGGUGACCGGCCACAUUGGGACUGAGAUACGGCCCAGACUCCUACGGGAGGCAGGAGGGGGGAAGAUAGCACAAUGGGCGGAAGCCUGAUGCAGCAACGCCGCGUGCGGGAUGACGGCCUUCGGGUGGUAAACCGCUUUCGCCUGUGACGAAGCGUGAGGGACGGUAAUGGGUAAAGAAGCACCGGCUAACUACGU